rnacentral:rRNA from 1 species
UACGUAGGGUGCGAGCGUUAAUCAGAAUUACUGGGCGUAAAGCGUGCGUAGGCGGUUCGCUGUGUCCGAUGUGAAAGCCCCGGGCUUAACCUGGGAAUGGCAUUGGAAACUGGCGGGCUUGAGUGCGGCAGAGGGGGGUGGAAUUCCGCGUGUAGCAGUGAAAUGCGUAGAGAUGCGGAGGAACACCGAUGGCGAAGGCAGCCCCCUGGGUCGACACUGACGCUCAGGCACGAAAGCGUGGGGAGCAAACAGG